CAAGGUGAGAUCUCUUCCCUCACAACGCACAGCGUUUAAGAUGAGAUCAGCACAGCUGCAGGAGAAAGCGAGCUGGGGAGCAGCAAAGGGAAUUGUGCAAGCUCGCUAGAAGCUCUGCAAGCAUCCUCCCACUAUUUUAGCCCUGCAUCACGCACAGCUGCGAAAGCACAGCCAAAUCCUCCCAGUCCCUGUGUCCACAGAGUACAUGUGCAGAUGGUCUGACGAAGCCUAACAGCUGCUGAAAACACCAAAACAUCUUCUGUCCCCCUUCCUGUGUUCCUUGGCACACAAUUCAGUCCACCUAGAUCCCCUGGGAGAAACAAUUCAACCUGUGUUUACAACGGGGAGCUUCCUCAUAUCUCUGGCAAAGAAAGCCAAGAGUUUUCUGCUACAUGGCUCAGUGGUUUGGGCUGGGACAGAGUUAAUUUUCCUCCUAGUAGCUGGUUCAGUGCUGCGUUUUGGGGUUAGGAUGAGAAUAAUGCUGAUAACACGCCCAUGUUUUAGUUGUUGCAGAGCAGUGCUUGCACUGAAUCGAGGACUUUCAGCUUCUCCGACUGCCCUGCAAGGAAGCUGAGGAUGCACAAGAAGCUGGGAGGAGACAGAUCCAGGACAGCUGACCCCAACUGGCCAAAGGGACAUUCCGUACAGUAAGAUGUCAUGCUGAACAAUAAAGCUGAGGGGGCUGCUGCUGCUCAGGGACCAAGUGGCCACUGGUUGCACUAGGAAAAUGGGCUGGAUGGCAUGUCUGGAUGCCCAAAGCUAUUAAAAGCUACCGCCCCUCUGCUGCUGCAUAUGUUCUCCUGAACCCUGCUGCUACUGCAAGCUGCUUUACUCAAUUUGCAAGGACCUGGGACCGAGUGAAGGGGCAGUUAUAAUGUUUAAAUGUAGAAAUUCUUUAAUCGUGCUACUUCUCACACCCACCCUCCUGAGCACACGAACAUGCUGCGUGUGAAGGUGCUUGGGAAGGCUGCAGCUCUCCUGCCACCACUCACCUGGGGUGCAGUCCUGUGCUUCAUCGACAAAAAUGGCAUCAUAGUCUGAAAGCUGAGGCUUGCUGAGCUGCCAGAGUUUCAAAUAACCUGAGAGAAAGAACAAAACACGUCAGUGAGAAGCUCAUCUGCUUGUCAUGAUCUCUUAAAAAAAAAAAAAGCAUCUUCUGGCCCUGCCCCUUGUUUGGACAUGACAUUUAGGAGGAUUGCAAAAUUCUGUUGCUCCCAGAUGUUGCUUGUCCCUCGUUGGCUGCGUGAAGGAUGAAAUAAAGUAAAAGAGAGCAGCCUGACCACACCGGUGGAAGGCAGCUAUGCUGAUGACUUAAUUGCACAAAGAAGAUGACAAGGAAGAAGGUUUUCUCCAGUACAAGCCACCUCUGGCUCUAUCUCACAGAUGCCAAGAAGAGGAAAAGAUGUCAGCAAGAAGCACUCCCUCUGUUAGCACUCAUCUGCCCACUGCCUGACACCGAAUUUCCAUGAUUUUGCUGCCUGACACGUCCAGAGUUCCACUAACUCUGAGGCCAAAUAGGAAAAGCACAAACCUCCUGCCUUCAGGCCUGAUUUGGGCUCCCUGGUGAGCUAGUGGCAGCUGAACAGGAAUUUUGCACUUUUUUGCACGUAUCUGUUCAGUUUUGUAUCACUGCCCUUCACCCGAAGGCUUAUUUGACAUCUGUACUCUCUUACCAUCACAAGUGAUCUUGUAUUUCUUCUCUACAUCUCCGUUCAGGUCCUUCAUGUUGCGCCAUAUCUCUUUUGCUUCUUCCACAUUGAUCUAGAAAAAGUAAACAGAAAGGUCAGGAUAGUUUGCUUUAAGCAGAAAAAUAGUCCAGGCAGAGCAGCCCUUGAGAUGGCAGAGUAGCUGGUACAGGCAAGCUAUCAGCUUGCAGCAUUUAAAUGCAAUCUCCCUCCUGAAUCCCUUCCCUCCUUCCAGACAACUUCCUCAUUAAACUUCUCCUACUGGCUUAAAAUGUAGUUUGUCCAUGUCUAAUUCUCUGAAGCCUUUCUCCUCCUAUUUCUCCUUAGUUUCACUACCAGAUAACUUCUCCCCAUAGCAGUCUUUUCCAGCAGCAGCCUCCUGAAAAGAACAUUUCUUUGGUCCAGCUAUUAGGACAGAACGAUACAAGACCCCCUGCCUUCUGUACACUUGCACAGACCUUGUGUUUAUUUGGGUUUCCCUGCGUGGCUUGCAAGAUGUUUAAAGGUAUUUAAUAUUUUGAGGCUUAUAAUUCAUUCCCUGCCAGCAGCAACAACUGCAGAUUGGAUUUGUGCCAGCUGGGCUGGAUCUGAUCAGCUGUUUCCAAGUCAGAGCAGAAAGGUUUCUUUUCUCCAUGACUCCAGCCCACGUUGUCCACAACACCAGUUCCUUAAGGCUUGUUAGGAUGUUUGUACUCCAGAUUAGAAUGUUUUGCUUUGGCUUUGCAUAUCGAAAUUACAACAGAAAUGUUUAUCAUCUUCACAUGCAAUGUCACAGUGCAGCCCGACUCUUCUUUCCUCAUGGGUACUUACCUCCUUUUCUCGUUGGGUGACAAGUUUUUUCUCUCCGUGGGUGCUUGUGAACCAAAUAGGAGUGUGCUCUUCACAGAUCUCAUCAUCUGAAGAGGAAAAGAAGUUUUCGAGGGUCUGCAAGACUGUUUUUCCUCUGAUGACCAGAGACUGUCCCUCACGGUUCUGGAUGAGGAAGCUCAUGUUAUAAGCUGUCAGCUUAGACACGUUCAGCUUGCCUUUUUCUUUAUAGCUGUGCCACGGACGACAAAAAAUAAGAGAUGUUGAAACAUACACGAAAAGCCUACUGGAAAAGAUAGGUCACGUUGCACACUAAUACGUAGAGAAGCUGUUUUAUAUACCCCACUUCAACCUAGUCAUGGAACAUCUAAAAAAUCUGCACCUAUUUAUCCUCACUGUAUUCCUGAAGGAAGCACAAACUCUUUCAUUUUAUAGAUUUUCAUAGACAAAACGUCAAGCCAGAGCCAUUCCCAUCAUUCACCCCAGCAAUUAUGGAUUGUUUCCAGAGCCAGGCAGGAGGAUUCCUCUCCUCUUUUGUGCCACGGCUCGUUUUCCCUUUUGUCUGCAGCAGAGAUGCCCCAAGAGAAGUGCUGGCGGUGCUGGAAACUGAGUCCUUAGAACAACUCGGGUUAUAAAAUCCCCUUCUCUGCUGAAGAAAAGCUGAGUUUAGAAAAUGGGUUUGCCACUGACUCACAAGGCAAUUAAGAGUCUUAAUUGAGUGAGACAGGUAAAAGUAAUCAAGUGCUUCCUGCCAUUAUUUUUGCUUCCUUGAGUCGUGGAUAAUUACUUCACAACCAAACCUUCCUUUCCUGCCGUGUAUUCCCUUCUCCCCUGGUCUUCAGCAAAGGAAUCGAAAAUCCCCACUCACUGUUUGCCAACGCUCCCAAAUGCUAAUGAAUGGAAAGUCCUGCACGCCACGUUUCUGGGGAAGACCGAUUUUCCCCUCUCCACUACAGCUUUGUUAAACGACACGUAGAGGAAGUUGAGGUCGGCAAACUUCUCCGCGUACUUGGCCAAAGUCGAGGUCUUUCCCGUACCUGGAGAACAGAGGGUAACCAAAAAUCAUCAACAGGGGUGAACGAACGAACCUGGCCACCUUUUAGCAGCUUUACCUUCCCCCUCCCCUGCUGUCCUAGUGGCACAGCAGGGCUGUUUGUGCAGCUGAUGGGAAUUUAUUCGCCGCCUCAAAUGAAAUCAGCAGAAGCCGUGGAGCAGAGCGGUUUUGAAAAAAAUUACAUCCUGCAGCCAAAAAGCUUUUAAAAAAGAAGCAUUUUGCUAUCCAAUAUCCUAGAAUUCUGAGCACAAGUGAAAAUACUGAUUCCUUUGAGAGAAAGCUUGGUAAGUGAAAUGUUAGAACUGCUCUUUUAAAAGAUUUAUGGGUUCUUUUCUUUUGGGCGAUACAGCCCAGACCACAAAAUGAACAGUACUGAAAGUGUAUUUCCACCACGUUUCUCGUUUGAAUUUGACACAAAAUCUUUGGUGGAUCCCAUAGAGAAGGAUCUGGUGCUUCCAAGCUGCGUGUGUAACUUGGCAGAGAACAGGAAUGAGCUCUGAGCCCUCAGCGUGGUGUCUUUAAAGGAAACUGCAGGUGAAAGGAGAUGGUUUACUUCUCCUUUUCUCUUUAAAUAAGCUUCCUUGAUUUUUAGAGAUUCCCCUUUUCAAACCAGAGUGCAAGUGCAGACGAUUUCUUGGCUUGUGUUGCUCCUACAGAGGUGCUAAGUCUGACCAAGUAAGAAGGACUCCGUCCAGUGGCCUGCAGACAUUAACACCGUGAACCAGACUCAGCAACACGUGGAAAAAAAGCUUCCUCUGAUUUUUGCAGUGAUUAAAGGUAAGGCUGAUCCCCUGACAUCCACCAGACAGAAGAAGCAGGGAGGGAAGGAGCAGAAUCAGCGGCUACGCGCUUAUUCUUACAGCCUAAUUUCUGGCUCUUACCUGCAAAUGCCAUGAUUUUCACCACUUGACCAGGCUCAAUUUUGUGAUUCAAAAUCCUUUGCUGUUCGUGAGUCAGUUUCACUUCGGACAAACUGCUAAAAAAUGAAAAGAAAAGAAAACACCAAGGAGCAAAAGGAAUUAAGAAGAAAAAUCCUACCCCAAAACCAAAUUGGCUAACAGCAGAAGGAAACCCACGAGUGGUUUAUCCCACCCCACAAGCAGGAAUGUGGCACUGAAGACAUUGUGCAAAUGAGAAAAGCAGCACCUUCCACUGAGAAAGAAAAGCCUGGAGAGUGCAGAACCAAAAAAUAAACCUCGUGGAAGGUUAUUUAGGAAAAGAUCUCCUCGAGGGCCCUGAGCCAUGCUUUCAAAAUGAAUUGGGUACCUUGUCGGCGUAGGCUCAUUGAAAACAAACAGCAACUUGUGUUUGGGGUAUUUUGUUGCUUUUAGGAGCAUGUAUCUCAAAUUGUUCUCGUAUUCUUCAGCGUAGGACAUCAAUUACCCCUGCCUCACACGGGAGUUGAGAGCUUUGAUUAAUGUUUAGAAAGGCAUUCAGCACUUCCAGCUGGAGUGCAAUUGUUUUAUUCAUAAAGCUCUGAAACCUGUAAUCAGCCAACAGCACGAACCAGCUCCUCUCAGGGCCUCCCCCAUAGGAUGCGUAAGGGCUGAAAGCCUCCUUUAAGUGUCCUUGACAUUUCGCAGCCCCCAGGACUUAUUUUUUUUUUUAUGGAACGAGCAAAUUUCUGCUCAGAAAAAAAAAAGACAAAGGAAAGAGUGAAAGGGCUGGGAAACCAAGAAGCAACGAAACCUAACAUUUGUUGGGUUUCUUUUUCAUUAUAUGGCCUCUAUCAGUGUUGCACCUUCAAUCAUCAGUGAUUUUAUAGGGUUUAUCUUUGCUGGGAGUCUGUGAGGGAUGAAGAUAUUACUGGGGAUGAGGACAAGGAGGCUCAGUGACUCAGAUAACUGCAACAGAAGAGGAAUCAAGCCUGGUUCUCUGCAGGCCCUGAAACUGUUUCGCUCCUACCUGCCCUUCCUUCCUAGGUAGCAGUGAUAAUUUAUAGCACCUGUAUAACAGUUAAUAAAUAACAGUUAUCCAACAAAAUCCAGAAAACAGGAGCUGAUUCAAUAUCCUGCAGCUGGUGUCUUCCUUCCUCCAAUUCACAAAAAAACAACAUUCUUAUGAAAAACCCCACAUUAUUUGCACGACAGUAACAUCACCAGCAAGCCAGCCCCCGUUUUGCACGGCUGCAGCUUGCACUUCUAGAGGAACAGGCUGUUAAAAUUAAAGCAUGAAUUCUCUCCUCUUUCCAAGGCCUCUCAUCUCAGGGAGAUCCAUGAUUUGGGAAGGCGUUUUGGGGUGAUUAAGGCUGUGCAAAAUUUCAGUAGCCCUCACUGUGUUCCACCAAUACUUUGCCCCAUCGGUUAAUACAGACUUCUAAAUUCAGUAAUUUUUCCAGAUUUAAGGUUUGCCUCUGUUUUUCCUCUAAGAAUUCAGGCAGAAGAUGGCAAGGAGUAGAAUAAGGUUUUGUAGCAAUCCUUAGGAAUCUUGGAGUCUUGUCAACUAGGCCUUGCCAGGAGAUGUUUGCUCCACAUCCAGGGUUCAUCAUUCCACCAGUGACCUUCUGGGACCACCUACAGCAUCAUUACCUGGUCCAGAAGUCCUGUCUGCGCUGUGAAGACCAUGUUUCCUCUUGUAUCAUCUGUGGCAUAGUUACAGAAGCAUUUUCCAUCAGAUACAAGCAGUAGAAAACAUUGUAAUGGAUCCUGGUAGAAAGGAAAAAAGGGAAUCCAUCAGUGGGAAAUCAUCAGGAAGAAAUUAAACUUCUGCAGCCACCUGAAAGACGCCAGCAUCGUGAAUACUUUUCCAGCAAAGUGCCCGCAUCUGGUAGGACCCAAACUCUUUUCCAAAGGGAAUAAGCCAGCAGCUUUUCUGUUUAAGCUCGCUAGAAAGUUUUCUGCUGCUUGCACUGUGCAUCAGGCAGCAAGAUCUGAGACAACGCUGGAACAAAUUGCAGGAGCAAGGCUCCAGCGAGUGCUUUUGUGAGUUGCAAAAGCCAAUAUUACUACUUUAAAAUGCAGUUAGUGCUAGCUUGAAAAGUGACUGCAAAGGCACUGUGGGGACAGCUCUGUUUGUGGCCUCUCCCUUGCUCCUGAUUGGGGUUUGCAAAGUUUGUGUUCCAGGCUCUGUCACAGAAACAUGAACUGGGAGCAGAGUCCACAGAACUGGGAGCAGAGUUCACAGAACCCUUGUGUUCCUUGUGUUCUGCCAAACCACCAUCAGCAGGAGUCUGGGGCAGCCUGAGAGAGAAUCUGGGGCCAGUUUAGACCUCUAAAGUCAAACAAUUUCAUGAACUGUCACAUAAUUAUUUCAUCCAAUUGUGCUCCCCCUGAGAAUGCUCCGUGGGGCUUUGUUACUGCAGAGAGCAACCCAGAGACUUGCUGGUUUUAAAUUAAUUUCACUGUCCUAUGUCAGGCUUGGCACUACUGUGGUUUAACUCUUUUAGUGCAGCUUUGCUCCUGGGACCUACAAGUUGCCAUCCCUGGGCCAGCCUCUAGGACAAAUUCCCAGACUUUGGGUCAGACGUUAGGUGACCUGCAUGCUCAGACUCACUGGUAGCUCUAGGAGCUGCAGAUAGGUCCCGGACAGUCCCUCAAAGCCAUUUUUCCUCCUUAUAAUCACAAAUCCAGUGUGGUUUGAAGAGAUAAUGGCAGAAGAGAGAUGGUCAUUCAUAUUUCUCCUGGUGUAGGCUGUUCAAGGAGAUGGAGACGGGAUGUGGGUGACUUUGACUACUGGUGAGGGACGCCCUCUGUCUGCCACGUCUUCAGCAGCUGUUUGCUCAAGUUAAAUGAUUUUAGCCAGCAAUUAGCAGUCACUGAGAGGCCAACCAAGCACCCUGAUAGCCCUGGUUGGUCUCGCAUGAGGAUGAACUCUGCUGUGUCCAACUCAGGCUGGAGUAGAACUUGCAGAGGGCAACUUACAGAACUGUUGUCUUUUUGGCUAUAGAUUUGUUUUCCAGUGCAGUUCCUUUCCAGUCUUACACGAAUUUAUGUGUGUCCUUAAUCCUUACCUCACCCUCACUGCAAUUCUGAAGCAACCUGUGGGCUCUCACCUGCAUUUAGAAGCACCUCUGUGGCCAGAAGGUGCAGAAUGGAGACUGCUAAGCACAGGCACUGAGGGCCCAGGGGACCUGUAGUGUCAGGAGUUGGACUCGAUGAUCCUUCCAACUCGGGACAUUCUAUGAUUCUAUGAUUCAUUUAAGAAGGCAGAAGAGAGUAACUAGUCUCAAGAAAGUACUAAAUGCAUUGUUUUAACCAAUACAUAUCUAAUUCUAAGCAGAAAUUCCUACAGUUGCUUUGAAAUCUGCUUCUGUCUCUGAAAACAAAGGUAUUUUUCUUGAAUAAACAAAUGGACUUGCAA